CCUACGGGUGGCAGCAGUGGGGAAUAUUGCGCAAUGGGCGAAAGCCUGACGCAGCGACGCCGCGUGAGGGAUGAAGGUCUUCGGAUCGUAAACCUCUGUCAGCAGGGAAGAACGGUCACUGUGCUAAUCAGCAGUGAAUUGACGGUACCUGAAGAAGAAGCCCCGGCUAACUACGUGCCAGCAGCCGCGGUAAUACGUAGGGGGCAAGCGUUAUCCGGAUUUACUGGGUGUAAAGGGGGCGCAGACGGCGAUGCAAGCCAGGAGUGAAAGCCCGGGGCCCAACCCCGGGACUGCUCUUGGAACUGCGUGGCUGGAGUGCAGGAGGGGCAGGCGGAAUUCCUGGUGUAGCGGUGAAAUGCGUAGAUAUCAGGAGGAACACCGGUGGUGAAGGCGGCCUGCUGGACUGCAACUGACGUUGAGGCCCGAAAGCGUGGGGAGCAAACAGGAUUAGAUACCCCAGUAGUC
rnacentral:rRNA from 1 species